rnacentral:rRNA from 1 species
UACGUAGGGUGCAAGCGUUGUCCGGAAUUAUUGGGCGUAAAGAGCUCGUAGGCGGUCUGUUGCGUCGGCUGUGAAAACCCGGGGCUCAACCCCGGGCCUGCAGCCGAUACGGGCAGACUAGAGUUCGGCAGGGGAGACUGGAAUUCCUGGUGUAGCGGUGAAAUGCGCAGAUAUCAGGAGGAACACCGGUGGCGAAGGCGGGUCUCUGGGCCGAUACUGACGCUGAGGAGCG